UCUACCUUUUAGUGGGGAAUAACGCUCCGAAAGGAGUGGUAAUACCGCAUGAGACCAGUGGCUGGGAUGCUGUUGGUGAAACCCUGGGACCUUCGGGCCAGGGGCUAGAAGAGGAUCCUGCGUCUGAUUAGCUAGUUGGUGAGGUAACGGCCCACCAAGGCAUCGAUCAGUAGCCGGCCUGAGAGGGUGAUCGGCCACACUGGAACUGAGACACGGUCCAG
rnacentral:rRNA from 1 species